GACGAACGCUGGCGGCGUGCCUAAUACAUGCAAGUAGAACGCUGAAGAGAGGAGCUUACUCUUCUUGGAUGAGUUGCGAACGGGUGAGUAACGCGUAGGUAACCUGCCUUGUAGCGGGGGAUAACUAUUGGAAACGAUAGCUAAUACCGCAUAACAAUGGAUGACACAUGUCAUUUAUUUGAAAGGGGCAAUUGCUCCACUACAAGAUGGACCUGCGUUGUAUUAGCUAGUAGGUGAGGUAAUGGCUCACCUAGGCGACGAUACAUAGCCGACCUGAGAGGGUGAGCGGCCACACUGGGACGGAGACACGGCCCAGACUCCUACGGGAGGCAGCAGUAGGGAAUCUUCGGCAAUGGGGGCAACCCUGACCGAGCAACGCCGCGUGAGUGAAGAAGGUUUUCGGAUCGGAAAGCUCGGUUGUAAGUCAAGAACGGGUGUGAGAGUGGAAAGUUCACACUGUGACGGUAGCUUACCAGAAAGGGACGGCUAACUACGUG
rnacentral:rRNA from 1 species